AGAGUCAGAUUUCAGGAUGCUUUUGGUCAUAAUAAUUCGUUCAAGGAAAUUGAACGGUGGGCAAGUUCAAGUCAAUACUUUGAUCCAGAAGCUUUGACAACUCCCACGUCCCUCCCUAGUCCCAACCCCUUCCCCAAGUAACCCAUAAGAUACCAUCCAUUUUUCCGGGCGCUCACGUGGAUCCUUCGUGGCAGUGCCACAAAGUCCUUUAUAAUCCCUCCAACUCUCAUACCAGCUCCCAAAAAAAAAGGAAAAAAAAUUGGAAGAGAGGAAACGAUUAGUUUGGAGAUUAAAUUAUGCUGGGGAGAAAAGAAGAGAGCGGAUUGAAGAAGGCUCGAGUAGCUGCUGCCAGCGCUGCCUACGACUCCGCCCCCACCACCUCCAUCACAACCGCCACCGGACACAUACUUACCGUGUCCGAGUUCAUCUCCCGCUUUGACGAAGCUGCAAAGAAGAGACUGGAUAACAUGAACCAGAAGCUGAGGGAGUUGGAGAUGCAGAUGGAAGCACUUGAGGCUGAGAUCAACAAAGCAAAUGACUCUACCAAUUUGGCUUAAUUCCCCACUCUUUUACUGACGAUGCAUGGUAGGUCAGCAUCCACAGUUUUGCAGUUGGUGAGCCAAUUGGAAUACUCCCUCUGUUACGAAGCCAACUGGUAUACCUUCUCUGUUAUGGUGCCAAUUGGCCUUACAUGUAUGGAAGGGCAAUUAAUCUAUUUCUAAUUCAUAGGAGGAUCUCGCGAGCAUUUUUUUUUUUUUCUUAAAGUAUUAUGAUUACAUCUGAUAAAUUUACUACUCUAGGACACAGGCAUUAGGAAACAAUUUGGUUAGAGGUAAAUACUUAGAAUUUGGAUUCCAGAGCUAUCAUGUUUCAAAGCUUAACAUAACAGCCAAUUCAUAUGGGCUCAGCAUGGAUCCACUCUUGUGGCCUAUGAUGUGAUGGGCUUGGCCCAUAUGUUUUGGAUUAUUAUAUUGCGAGGGCUAUCUGGCUUCUUUCUUAAAAUCCAUUUGUAGAUCAAAGAGGAAGCUUGCAUGAAAUUGGAGAGUUCCCUUUCGAACUUCUGGGAGAUGAAAUUAGUACCUCCCCAUCCUAUUUCGGCUGAUGCAUUGUCCUUGCUCCAACCUUACACAACAACCCAUGACAACAUGGCAAGUGCAUCUGCUUCAAAAAAAUAGUACGUAUUGCUUAAGAUUGGGAAAGCCUAUCUCUGUGCAAGUUGGACUAAAGAAAAUAAAGAUUCGCUACAGCAAUUGUACCAUCCAAACUACUCUAGAUGGAUUCCUCAUCCCAUAUCAUGAAUUAGCGGAUGAUCCUCAUAUGUAUAUUUCCAUAUAAUGGAUGACACGCAUGCUGCGUGAAAGCAACAUUUGGAUACCUACAGCUAACCAAACAAUUAUGUAAUUAUGUUGUCUAUUGUCUUCUUAUAUUUUAAGCAAGAAUGAGGAGGAUUAUUUCGAGAAUCUUAUGCAAAGCUGUCAAGUAUGAAAGAGUUCCUUUUAUUGUAUUCAAGUAUUAAUACCUUCUCAACAAGCAUGAUUCUAUUGCCUUAAUUGCUUUAGAAGGUAUCACUCCGUUCAAUGAAUGGUCCAAUUUGUAUAAUCAUAAUCUUCUUGCAGAGUUUGGAAAAGUUUGGAUUAGAAUCAAAAAUAUCAAAAGAAAGAUAUUUUGAUGAUGCACAUUUUCAAAGCACUUGUUUUCCUUCAAUUUUCUGCAAUUGGAUAUGAGCAUCUCUUUGAAGCAUGCCUGACUGAUGAUGAUCUGAGAUUUAAUGUUCCAACACCAAAUUUUUCAGAUUUUAAUUGGCCAACAAUUUGAUUGGAAGCUUUUCAGUUCUUUGCAUCCUACAUAGAAGGAAAAGUUCUUGUUGUGGAAAAGCUACGAUCCUCCUGAUGAAUUCUUUUUAUUUUUGUGAGAUCCUCCCAACCUUCUCUAUUUUUUAGAUGCUGAAAUCUUUUUCUUCUGUUACUCUGUUUCUAUGGUGAAUUUUUUGUAGACCACUUGCUUCUUUUUAAUCUUGUAAAUCUGUAUCAUACACACUUUCUUUUAUAAUAAAUUUGAGUGGCUUUCAC